UAGUCAUAUGCUUGUCUCAAAGAUUAAGCCAUGCAUGUCUAAGUACAAGCUUUUACCUAGUGAAACCGCGAAUGGCUCAUUAAAUCAGUUAUGGUUCCUUAGAUCGUACAAUCCUACUUGGAUAACUGUGGCAAUUCUAGAGCUAAUACAUGCAAUAAAGCUCCGACCUUCGGGGAAGAGCGCUUUUAUUAGAUCAAAACCAAUCGCCCGCAAGGGUGUCCCUUUGGUGACUCUGGAUAACUUUGGGCUGAUCGCAUGGCCAUGUGCCGGCGACGUAUCUUUUAAAUGUCUGCCCUAUCAACUUUCGAUGGUA
rnacentral:rRNA from 1 species